rnacentral:rRNA from 1 species
UACAGAGGGGGCGAGCGUUGUUCGGAAUUACUGGGCGUAAAGGGCGCGUAGGCGGCCAACUAAGUCAGACGUGAAAUCCCUCGGCUCAACCGGGGAACUGCGUCUGAUACUGGAUGGCUUGAAUUCGGGAGAGGGAUGCGGAAUUCCAGGUGGUAGCGGUGAAAUGCGUAGAUAUCUGGAGGAACACCGGUGGCGAAGGCGGCAUCCUGGACCGAGAUUGACGCUGAUGCGCGAAAGCCAGGGGAGCGAACGGG